AUGUUGCUGCCCCAGAUACAAGACAAUGUGUACCAAAAAUUGGCAUGCAAGAAACAAUAGAAGCAGAGAUGUUGGUGGCUUUUUUAGAAAAAAACGGGAUUGAACCGCACGCUCCAUUUCGACCACGCGGGUGAUGACAUCGGGUCGUGCGCAUCACUUAUGCACGAGGUUCCCGAGAUGCAUUGUGCCCGUGCUAUCUUGCAUGGGAAGCCGAUCGGACGCCGGAGAAGAAGAUGGAUGUGCGCGAGUCAAGAAGGGGACCGGCCCCUGUCGAUACUCUGGCGACGCAGCCUCCUGCGCCCUCUAUCGGGAAACUAAGAAAAAAAGAAAAAAGACGGGCUGUAACGUUAUUAUUAUUUUUUUUUCUGGUGAGCACGCAAGGGUUACGCUGAAAAUUGCAAGGAAGAAUAGAGCGAGACACUUUA
rnacentral:lncRNA from 1 species